UGGGUAUUAUCUCCCAUAUCAUACUAAAAUAAGCUAUAAUCAAAAUGAUAAGGUUUCACCUCUCCAGUUCCCUAUAAAUCUCGUGCGCUGUAGCACAGUUAAACUAAAACAAUGUCGAUACUGAUUAGGUUUGCCCUUUUUAUGAUGAUUGUUGUGUUGGUAUUAGGACAGAAUUGUGAUCCAAAAUUGUGUUUUUGCGGUUGGGAUAAGCCACAGUGUACCGAUACCACUGAUCCAUGUGGAUAUUGCCAACACAUUAACGGAACCCAAGCGCCAUGGUGCUGUCCAUCCGUAUGAAAAUAUUUGUAUAACUACUUUGUGCUACUACAAAACCGUACUCAUAUGUACAUGAAUUGUGAAGCAUUUAUUUAAUAAACGGAAGAAAAUUAC